GCACGCCUGUCGGGACCCGAAAGAUGGUGAACUAUGCCUGAGCGGGGCGAAGCCAGAGGAAACUCUGGUGGAGGCUCGAAGCGAUACUGACGUGCAAAUCGUUCGUCUGACUUGGGUAUAGGAGCGAAAGACUAAUCGAACCAUCUAGUAGCUGGUUCCCUCCGAAGUUUCCCUCAGGAUAGCUGGAGCCCAUUACGAGUUCUAUCAGGUAAAGCCAAUGAUUAGAGGCAUUGGGGACGCAACGUCCUCGACCUAUUCUCAAACUUUAAA
rfam:Hordeum vulgare subsp. vulgare, WGS project CAJW01000000 data, contig: morex_contig_582272